CUUGAGGUGGCCGCCUGGGAUUCCCUCCUCCAGGACAUCGCACUUCUGCUGAUGGACGUGGUGGAGGACCGGGAUGUUCUGUCCUGGCGCCUCGAGCCCUCUGGACGUUUCUCCACGAAGUCCCUGUACGGCGCCAUUGCUCCCUCAUCGGCCCCAGAACCAUUUAGCCUGAUUUGGGACAUCCGUCUCCCGCUGAAGAUCAGGAUCUUCCUGUGGCAAUGGAUCCGUGGCCGGCUCCCCUCUGGUGUUGAGGUCCUCAAGCGUAAUGGCCCGGGUGAUGGGAUGUGCCCCAUCUGUGGCACGAUUGAGGAUGCUAACCACAUCUUUUUCUCGUGCCACUCUGCCCAGUUCCUUUGGGCCUGCUUCCGCGAAACGGUUGGCGGACAGUGGUGUGAUACCAACUUCCCCGACCUGCUUGCCGAGCUUAACGCCUGCCCUGCCCGCUACCGCCAUAUUAGAUGGCUGUGCGUUGGGGUUCUUGCCUGGACGCUUUGGAACAUUCGUAACAAGCUCGUUAUUCAGAAAGUGCCCCUUCGCCGUGCGACUGACGCAAUCUUCAAAUUGUGUGGCUACCUGCAGCUUUGGCGGCCACUUAGCCGCCCCAAGGACCGGGAUGUCAUCACCGCCCUCCUCUCCGAUCUCCGUUCGAUGGCGCUCCGCGUGGCUCCCCCGCUGCCGCCUCCUCCACCCGAGCCCGACUAG
rnacentral:rRNA from 1 species